rnacentral:SRP_RNA from 1 species
ACUGGGCAUGGUGGCAUGUGCCUAUAGUCCCAGCUACUUAGGAGGCUGAGGUGGGGGGAUGCUUGAGUCCAGAGUUCUGGGUUGUAGUGCACUAUGGUGAUCGGGAGUCCAUACUAAGUUUGGCAUUAAUAUGGUGACCUCCUGUGAGUGGGAGAACACUCAGUUGCUUAAGGAGGGGUGAACCAGCCCAGGUCAGAAAUGGAGCAAGUCACAACUCCUGUGCUGAUCAGAACGUCAGGAGGUGAAAACACCAUGGAGAAAGAGCAAGAGAGGACAGGGAGUACAGGGCAGG